UUUGAUUGUUUAUUCUUUCCAUUUUGUUAUGUAUGUCCACAGUGAUUGAAGCAUCCAGAUCCAGAUCAAUACUACUGGUUUAGUGUUAUUUUUACGCUUGAUGAUGCAGUUACAUGUGGUAAUUAUAAAAUUUUAAAGGCACCCAAAUUAUUGGCAUGUACUACCAAAUGGAUGAAUCAACAUUUUCGCGUGGUACUAUGAUUCAGAAGGUUUGUGGUACUAUGGACACUGAGGUUUCUGUUUUCAAUAAAGAACUAUACUUUCCUUAGUGAGUUUUUGAUGCAUAUGAAGGAACAAGUAAAUGACUACGUUUUUUUAAUCUUUGAAGAAUCUCGAUUUAAGAUAGAAUAGCAUGAAGCAGAAUGUAAAAUUGCGGGUGCUAACUGAAUUCUCUACUCUACACUAAUUGGACAAAAAAAAUGUUUUCUUAGUAGUCCGUUCAAAAUAAAAUGUUUCAUUAUUUUUCAAAGUUCUUUUAAGGCGCUAAUUGAAUUCUCUACUCUUUGUCCAUUCUUUCAGAAAGCACUCCCUGAAUUCUGGUUGCACUCUAUAAUGGGUGGCCUGCUGAUGGAAAGAUCAACUAAUGAUGGAAUCCCCCAAAGGCUUCUAAUAUAUAUGCACCCUUGGUGAAGCAUGGACUGCAAUAACAAUACCAUUUGGUAAACUUUGCAGGUCGAUAAACUGAAAGUUUUGCAUAUUCCCUUUUGUAAUUCACCCUCCAAAGGAAAGAGAAGGUAUAUUGUGGAGCUUCCAUCCAUUUUUCUAUAUUUGUAUUAGACUGGUCAGAUACCUCAGGCUCAACACUUUUGAUGAUUUUAUUUCAGUGUAUAUCUUUGCCAAUGUAAAGUGCAAAGUGUACUCUUGGUAUUGCCUUCAAAUUCAAUGUAACGUUCGUGGUGUCCAGUAAAGAUGUUGUGCCGUUUUGGGCCAUUUAAGUAUUUAA